UUUUUUUUUUUUUUAAACACUCUAUUUUUAAUAUAACAAAGAACGCUAAUUAUGUAAUCACACUGGUUUGAACAAAUAAAUAAAAGAAAGAUGUAUAUGAUCACAUAACAAAAAACUAAAAACUUAAAAUAUAUAUGAACAUAUUUAUAUAUCACUCUCUCUCUCUAUAUAUAUAUAUAUAUAUUGUAUAUUGUAUAUGUAUGUGUAAAUCAGAUCUUAUUACAAAUGAAAAAAAAAAUCAUUUAAAAAAAAAAAAAAAAAAUCAACAUCAAUGAGGAGAAUAGUGUGAAAAUUAUAUCUACACAUAAAAAAAAUAAAAAAAAAAAUAAAAAAGUUAAAUAUAUUUAUAUAUAUAUAUAUAUAUAUUAUAUAAUUGGUACACAAUUGAAGGCUCAUAUAUACGUUUAAAUUAUUAAAAAUUAAGAAAAAAAAAAGGAAAUAAAACAGAAGGAAUAAAAAAAAAAAAAAGGAUAAAAAAUAAAAAAAGGAUAAAAAAUAAAAAAUGAGACCUAAGUAUAUGCAGAUUUCACCAGGACAAAAAGAAAAAAAAAGUGGUGGCUCUUUUUUUAUAUUUAUUGUAUUUUUUAUAUUAGCAUUUAUCUAUAUUGGAUAUACGGGGGUAGUUUUAAGGUCUUGGUUUAAUCCAUAUAGAAAUGGCACUUUGACAAUAGCCAUUGUGUUUCAUGUCUUUUUUUUUUUGUUUUUACUAAGUUUUAUAAAAGUAAAAAAAAAAAAAAUAUAUAUACAUACUUAUACAUACUUAUUAUUUAUAGAUAAAUAUAUAUACAUGCAUAUACAUAUGCGGGUAUGCAAUUGUGUGCGUGUACAC
rnacentral:lncRNA from 1 species